GAUGAACGCCGGCGGUGUGCCUAAUACAUGCAAGUCGUACGCACUGGCCCAACUGAUUGAUGGUGCUUGCACCUGAUUGACGAUGGAUCACCAGUGAGUGGCGGACGGGUGAGUAACACGUAGGUAACCUGCCCCGGAGCGGGGGAUAACAUUUGGAAACAGAUGCUAAUACCGCAUAACAACAAAAGCCACAUGGCUUUUGUUUGAAAGAUGGCUUUGGCUAUCACUCUGGGAUGGACCUGCGGUGCAUUAGCUAGUUGGUAAGGUAACGGCUUACCAAGGCGAUGAUGCAUAGCCGAGUUGAGAGACUGAUCGGCCACAAUGGAACUGAGACACGGUCCAUACUCCUACGGGAGGCAGCAGUAGGGAAUCUUCCACAAUGGGCGCAAGCCUGAUGGAGCAACACCGCGUGAGUGAAGAAGGGUUUCGGCUCGUAAAGCUCUGUUGUUGGAGAAGAACGUGCGUGAGAGUAACUGUUCACGCAGUGACGGUAUCCAACCAGAAAGUCACGGCUAACUACGUGCCAGCAGCCGCGGUAAUACGUAGGUGGCAAGCGUUAUCCGGAUUUAUUGGGCGUAAAGCGAGCGCAGGCGGUUGCUUAGGUCUGAUGUGAAAGCCUUCGGCUUAACCGAAGAAGUGCAUCGGAAACCGGGCGACUUGAGUGCAGAAGAGGACAGUGGAACUCCAUGUGUAGCGGUGGAAUGCGUAGAUAUAUGGAAGAACACCAGUGGCGAAGGCGGCUGUCUGGUCUGCAACUGACGCUGAGGCUCGAAAGCAUGGGUAGCGAACAGGAUUAGAUACCCUGGUAGUCCAUGCCGUAAACGAUGAGUGCUAGGUGUUGGAGGGUUUCCGCCCUUCAGUGCCGGAGCUAACGCAUUAAGCACUCCGCCUGGGGAGUACGACCGCAAGGUUGAAACUCAAAGGAAUUGACGGGGGCCCGCACAAGCGGUGGAGCAUGUGGUUUAAUUCGAAGCUACGCGAAGAACCUUACCAGGUCUUGACAUCUUGCGCUAACCUUAGAGAUAAGGCGUUCCCUUCGGGGACGCAAUGACAGGUGGUGCAUGGUCGUCGUCAGCUCGUGUCGUGAGAUGUUGGGUUAAGUCCCGCAACGAGCGCAACCCUUGUUACUAGUUGCCAGCAUUAAGUUGGGCACUCUAGUGAGACUGCCGGUGACAAACCGGAGGAAGGUGGGGACGACGUCAGAUCAUCAUGCCCCUUAUGACCUGGGCUACACACGUGCUACAAUGGACGGUACAACGAGUCGCAAGCUCGCGAGAGUAAGCUAAUCUCUUAAAGCCGUUCUCAGUUCGGACUGUAGGCUGCAACUCGCCUACACGAAGUCGGAAUCGCUAGUAAUCGCGGAUCAGCAUGCCGCGGUGAAUACGUUCCCGGGCCUUGUACACACCGCCCGUCACACCAUGGGAGUUUGUAACGCCCAAAGUCGGUGGCCCUAACCUUUAUGGAGGGAGCCGCCUAAGGCGGGACAGAUGACUGGGGUGAAG
rnacentral:rRNA from 1 species